AAAGAAAUCGUUAAGGGCGUAUGGCGGAUGCCUAGGCUUUCAGAGGCGACGAAGGACGUGGUAAGCUGCGAAAAGCUGCGGGGAUUGGCACACACGAAUUGAUCCGCAGAUGUCCGAAUGGGGCAACCCGGCAUAUUGAAGAUAUGUCACCCAGCAAUGGGAGCAAACCCGGAGAACUGAAACAUCUAAGUACCCGGAGGAAAAGAAAUCGAAGAGAUUCCGUAAGUAGUGGCGAGCGAAAGCGGAUUAGCCCAAAAGUCUUUAUAUGUUUAAAAGAAUGUUCUGGAAAGAACAGCCAUAGAGGGUGAUAGCCCCGUAUUUGAAAGGCAUAUUUGGAUGAUAAAUGAGUAGGGCGGGACACGUGAAAUCCUGUCUGAAUAUGGGGGGACCAUCCUCCAAGGCUAAAUACUCCUGAAAGACCGAUAGUGAACAAGUACUGUGAAGGAAAGGUGAAAAGCACUUCGAAUAGAAGGGUGAAAUAGAACCUGAAACCGUACGCCUACAAGCGGUCGGAGCAGAUUAAUUCUGU
rnacentral:rRNA from 2 species